AUGCAGUGUAAAGUUUUUGUCAACAAACCCACGUUGAGAACAACUGGUGACUGUCCAUCUUCGACAUACGUAAGAUGAAUGUCAAGAAACUGAUUAACAUUAACUGACAAGAGGAGACAAUGAGAGCUCAACAUUAUUCUUCAUAUCUGGUGAAGGGGAGAGUUGCUAAAUUUGGGUGCACAACUAAAUUCAAGCAAAACAAAGAAAAAGACAGAUGCUAUAAAAAUGUGGUGUUGGCUUCCCAGUUCAGCACUUUUAAAGAGGGACAAACAUUGCACAUUUGCAACUUCUAAAUGGAAGCAGGGCAUCUGAAAUAUGCUGGAAUCCUCAUCUUAAUGGCCUUAACGCCAUUUUCAAGAAUAUCAAGACAGUGGUCAUUGGUAGAAUGGAUGCAAGACAACACUAGUGAAUUGAAAUUGUUGUUACUACAAAUGACACACUCCAGGAUUACACGCUUUCCAAAAAAACCAUUACGGCAUGCAACCAUAAAGGGAUUCUUUGAAAGUCUAUGUUCUGUAAUGGUGGAAGUUCUCUUGAAGAUUCCAUUAGUAUUAAAAUAAAAACUUAAAAGGUAAAAGUUCAAAUGUCUUCAAUACUAGAGACCUGUGAUUUGACAGUACAACAUGGAGCAAUUGUAAAGGACACAUAAUUUGUACAUUAUUGAAUAUCAAUAUAUAGUUAUCCAUAAAUUACUGGGCUUUUACAUUGUAUUGAAAUUCUCAACAUUUGCAUAUUUGAUCUUUGUAAAAUAUGUUUGGUAUACAGUACAGUAAGAAAAUACAUUCUUUCUAAGUUUUAAACAUUUGUCAACAAAAUAUAUGAACUGCAAUCUGAGGAUCAAUAAGAGGUCUGCAAUUCUCCACAUAUAAAAUGACUUUGAAAUCAUCCUGUUACUGUUAAACUUGAGAAUAUAUUAAGAAAACAUCAAAAUCUCUUUAUCGAAUACCUUUUUUACAACACAUUGUCCGGAUAUUUUGUGUAUUAUUCUAUGAAGCUGAUUUCUUAAUGGCUAUUGCUUCUCAGGUAAGCAAAGUGACACACAUACUACUUGAUUCUGUAAAAUACUGUAAUCAAGUGAUGUACAAAUGUCAUUUCUGCAUUUUUUGUGAAACAUGAUUGUAAAGAAUAAAAUACUACAGUUUCAGAAGUUCAGUUUACUAAAUUCUAAUACUUUAAUAUUCUUUCAUCAUUUUGAUGUCAAAAUGAACAUUUUUAAUAAAAAUGGCAUAAUAAAUGAAAAUGUAUUCCUGUAAUUUCAGCUUGCAUAUAAGUAUCAACUGUUAUACGAAUGUACUUCACAAAAUAAAUGUUUUGAUGUU
rnacentral:sRNA from 1 species